GACGAACCGUGCGAACGUUAUUCGGAAUCACUGGGCUUAAAGGGCGCGUAGGCGGCCAACUAAGUCGGAUGUGAAAUCCCCAGGCUUAACCUGGGAACUGCAUCCGAUACUGGAAGGCUUGAAUCCGGGAGAGGGAUGUGGAAUUCCAGGUGUAGCGGUGAAAUGCGUAGAUAUCUGGAGGAACACCGGUGGCGAAGGCGACAUCCUGGACCGGUAUUGACGCUGAGGCGCGAAAGCCAGGGGAGCAAACGGG
rnacentral:rRNA from 1 species